UCCUACUAAUUAACUAUCGUUUCUGUUUGCCAUUAAAUUUUCAACGGAGGAAUGCCGUGAAGGUCGCUUAGUCACCGUAACGAGGAGAACGCGACAACCGCAGUCACACUUUCCCCUUCGUAAAAUCUCCUCAUUUUGGAGUACUAUGUUUCAGGAAAUUUUAUGAUGAGAAAACAGCCCAGAAGUCAGUUCAUAAAUUUGGUAAAGAAAGGAGCUGCUGCUGUUUUCAUUGCUGAAGUAGGGGCAUUUGGAGUGUGUUACUACAUCUAUCAUCGUAUGAAUACAGAUAGAGAUUUUAGAUAUUAUAUGAAGAAUAAUUACAGCUUUGCACUUGAAUAGAGG